CGGACCUUUGUCAAGCAGCCUGCUAUUAACAGACAGCCAUUCUUAAUCCGUGUCAGGGGUUUACAACCCGAAGGCCUUCAUCCCCCACGCGGCGUCGCUCCGUCAGGCUUUCGCCCAUUGCGGAAGAUUCUCG
rnacentral:rRNA from 1 species